UCGGAGCAGUGACACGGCCGCGGGGCGACGGAAGUCCCCGUUGAAGGGCGUAGGCUAUGACGAGGGCAGGCAAAUCCACCCUUUGAGCUGAAACUUGACAGUAUGGAGUCCUCCCCGGAGGAGUCCAAUAGCGCCGGUAAUCAUACUCCCGAGAAAAUCCGCUAAGCUAAACCCUCAUGGUACCCGUACCGCAAACCGACACAGGUAGACGGGUAGAACAUACUAAGGCGUUGAGAGAUUCAUGGUUAAGGAACUAGGCAAACUGACCCUGUAACUUCGGGAUAAAGGGUCCUCAUAGCAAUAUGAGGCGCAGAGAAUAGGUCCAGGCAACUGUUUAACAAAAACACAGGGCUGUGCUAACACGAAAGUUGAAGUAUACAGCCUGACACCUGCCCGGUGCCGGAAGGUUGAGAGGAGAGGUCAUCCUUCGGGUGAAGCCUUGAAUUGAAGCCCCGGUAAACGGCGGCCGUAACAAUAACGGUCCUAAGGUAGCGAAAUUCCUUGUCGGGUAAGUUCCGACCUGCACGAAUGGUGUAAUGAUCUGGACGCUGUCUCAACCGUGAGCUCAGUGAAAUUGUAGUAUCGGUGAAGAUGCCGAUUACCCGCGAUGGGACGAAAAGACCCCGUGAACCUUUACUAUAGCUUAGCACUGACCUUGGUCAUCCGAUGUGUAGGAUAGGCCGGAGGCUUUGAAGCGCGCACGCCAGUGUGUGUGGAGCCAUCCUUGAAAUACGGCCCUUUGGCUGUCUGAGGUCUAACGCGCAUGUUGCGCGGACACUGCUUGGUGGGUAGUUUGACUGGGGUGGUCGCCUCCAAAAGCGUAACGGAGGCUUCCAAAGGUGCCCUCGGGCCGAUUGGUAACCGGCCUUGAAGAGUGCAAUGGCAUAAGGGCGCUUGACUGGGAGGCAGACAUGCCGAGCAGGCAGGAAACUGGGGCAUAGUGAUCCGGUGCAAGUGUAUGGAAACUGCAUCGCUCAAAGGAUAAAAGGUACUCCGGGGAUAACAGGCUGAUCCCCCCCAAGAGCUCAUAUCGACGGGGUGGUUUGGCACCUCGAUGUCGGCUCGUCACAUCCUGGGGCUGGAGAAGGUCCCAAGGGUUGGGCUGUUCGCCCAUUAAAGUGGCACGCGAGCUGGGUUCAGAACGUCGUGAGACAGUUCGGUCUCUAUCUAUCGUGGGCGCAGGAGUUUUGCGUGGUGCCGUCACUAGUACGAGAGGACCGUGAUGGACAGACCUCCGGUUUACCGGUUGUGCCGCCAGGUGCACCGCCGGGUAUCUGAGUCUGGUAUGGAUAAGCGCUGAAAGCAUCUAAGCGCGAAGCCUUCCGCAAGAUGAGAACUCCCUUUAGGGUCGUCAUAGACGAUGACGUUGAUAGGGUGCAGGUGUAAAGACGGUGACGUCAAAGCCGAGCACUACUAAUUGCCCU
rnacentral:rRNA from 1 species